GAGGAUGUAGCCAAGUGGUUAAGGCAGUGAAUUGUGAAUUUAUCAUGCACGGGUUCGACCCCGUUGAUCGCU